GCUCACUUCAAGAGAACAUAUACUAAAAGUGAAACAAUACAGAUAAUAUUAGCAUGGCUCAUGAACAAGGAUAAUAUGUAAAUUCAUGAAAUGUCUCAUAUUUAA
ensembl:snRNA U6 U6 spliceosomal RNA